CGCUUAUCGGGGGCGAGCGGACCCGCGGCAGUGCCUUAUCUCCGCGGCGCACACGGCCCCCGCGCGCCUCGGCCCAUGCUAACGAGGCCUAGAACACCGCCCAGGACCACACCGCGGCCUAACUGCCGGGCUCUCGGUGAGAGAGGGGGAGAGCAAAGACCCCCGUCCACAACCUGGACCUCGACUCCCACCCCUCUCUGGCCGGAGGAGUGGAGAUCCUAUUCAGAGGGGCCCGUCUCUCUAAAUAUGCCCCAGGAGAGCUUAGGCUCAUUUUGGCGAUUGCAGAGUGAACCGUUUAUCACUCGUUUAGAAGCUGAGACUGAAGCAUGUGUCACUGGGUGCACAGCGGUGCCUGGGGAUAGUAAGGUAGGGAGCCAGCCUCUUGGGGCUUGUAUGUUUUGCCAGAGGACUGUAUAUUUCCAAUGCAUUUCACUGUUGAGGGGAGCCAGGAAGUCUCUAGUGGUAUACCUCUGGUGCAUUUCUAGUGACUGAAAUGUCUUGGCAGUCCCAUUCUGUGGAUAUAGACCUAUUGUUUCCACCAUAAUCAUAAACUCGCUUCCAAUGAAGUGUUGCGGACCUACUGCCUUUGCAGCCAGGGUAUACCAAGUCUAGGGGAAUUUUGUCGUUUUGGGGUCCUGUCCAUGGGGCUGGCAGACUUAGGGCAGGAGCAUAAUCGGAAUGGUGAUUCUUCAUCAGCUGUGUGUCUGGUGGCAACUAAGCUGAGUGAGCUCUGGAGGUUUCAGAAGGUCCCGUCUUUCUUCUGGGGUGGGAGAAUGGUUCCCAGGCCAACUAGUCCAGAGCGGUGCAGGGGCAGAAUGGCUGCCAGGAAUGAAUUCUCUGCUUGGGGCUGAGUUGGAUUUUUGUGUAUUUGUUUUCUGUUAUAAAAUACCCCAAUUAUAUAAUUCUGAUAGCAGAAACUUUAUUUUGAACAUCUUACAAAGCCUGUCGAGUUGAUUAUGUUUUUGUUGUUUUAUUAAAAGUGACAAGCAUUUUCACACUCUGGACCCAGAG
rnacentral:lncRNA from 1 species